UGCUAUGGUUCUCCAUUCAAAGGAUCCAUCCACUUGCUUACUUGAAGCACUGCAAAAGCUCUUCUGACGCUCCGAAUGGAGGCAGGGAGAAGUAUAAUCAGAUGAUUAGCUAAGUAAACUACUUUCGUGAAUACCAGAAAAGGACCACCAGAUAACCCUCAUUGAAAAAUUCUACAGCAACAGCAGAGUAUGCCAAAGCAACAGCUGUGAUUGCCACCAAGCCCUCACUACCACCAUCUCAUUCUUUAAAAAGAAGUGUAAAAAAGUUAUAAAAGUAAAUAAAGAUUAAUGUGAGUAACAUUUAAAAAA